rnacentral:rRNA from 1 species
GAAUUGGUUUAUAAUAAGUGGAAGCUUAAUCCAGCUUUUCUACAGAGAUUGAGGUUAAAUUUGUGCCAGCAGCCGCGGUUAUACUGGUAUGGUCAGCAAGAGGAUUCAUGGGUUGGUAGUUAGUUUAGAGAUUGGUUGACAAAAGGUCUGAGGAAUUUAAGGUGAAAUUUAGUUUGUUGUUGAUUUUUGUUUGUUUAUUAGAGUCGAGGCUAUAAAGGUUAAAGUUUAGAAUAGGAUUAGAUACCCUAGUAUUUUUUACUGGAAAUAUAAAAGCUUGAUUAGUAUUAGUUAUGUUCUUGAAAUUUAAAGAAUUUGGCGGCACCUUAGCCUAGUUAGAGGAACCUGUCUUUUAAACGAUAAACCACGAAAUAUCUUACUCUUUUUUGUUUUUCAGUAUGUAUACCGUCAUAAUUGAACAAUUUCUAGAGAAAUUAGUUAUAAGGGAUAAAACUCCAUUAAAUUAGAUCAAGGUGCAGCUUAUAAAGGAGUAGAGGUGGGUUACAAUAAUUUUUAUUUAUAAUGGAUUAAGGAAAUAAGUGUCUUUAUGAAGGAGGAUUUAACAGUAAUUAGGUAAUAAUAAGUCUUAUUGAUGGUGGUUCUGAGGUGUGUACACAUCGCCCGUCGCUCUCAUGACGAAAUGAGAUAAGUCGUAACAAAGUAGGUGUAUUGGAAAGUGUACCUAGGAUUAAAUAAGUA